CAGCAGCCGCGGGAACACGAAGGGGGCUAGCGUUACUCGGAAUUACUGGGCGUAAAGGGCGCGUAGGCGGCACGAUUAGUCAGGCGUGAAAUUCCUGGGCUCAACCUGGGGACUGCGCUUGAUACGGUCGAGCUAGAGGAUGGGAGAGGGUUGUGGAAUUCCCAGUGUAGAGGUGAAAUUCGUAGAUAUUGGGAAGAACACCGGUGGCGAAGGCGGCAACCUGGUCCAUUACUGACGCUAAGGCGCGACAGCGUGGGGGGCAAACAGGAUUAGAUACCCCCGUAGUCCCUGUCUCUUAUGC
rnacentral:rRNA from 1 species